rnacentral:rRNA from 1 species
UACAGAGGGUGCAAGCGUUAAUCGGAAUUAUUGGGCGUAAAGGGCUUGUAGGUUGUUAUAUAAGUUAGAUGUGAAAAUCCUGGGCUUAACCUGGGACGUGCAUAUAAUACUGUAUAGCUAGAGUAUGGUAGAGGAGUAGGGAAUUCCUGGUGUAGCAGUGAAAUGCGUAGAGAUCAGGAAGAACAUCAGUGGCGAAGGCGCUACUCUGGACUAAUACUGACACUGAGGAGCGAAGGCGUGGGGAGCAAACAGG